rnacentral:rRNA from 1 species
GUCUAUUUGAAUUCAUUUUUUAGUCUGGCCUGCCCACUGAUUUAUUAAAGGGCCGCGGUAUUUGGACCGUGCUAAGGUAGCAUAAUCAAUAGUCUCUUAAUUGGAGUCUGGAAUGAAUGGUCGGAUGAAAUAUAAUUUGUCUGCGAAUAUAGUAUUGAAUUUUACUUUUAAGUGAAAAGGCUUAAAUAAAUUAAAGGGACGAUAAGACCCUGUGAAGCUUUAUUUUUAUUAUGUUUUAAUAUUUGAUAGUUGUGUGAUUAAAUUUGAGUUUAGUAAAAAUUAAAUUGGGGCGAUUGGAAUAUAUUAUUAACUGUUUUUAAUAGUAAAAUAAAUAAUUUUUAGGUGUUGAUCUUGUAUUACGGAUUAUAAGAUUUAAGUUACUCCAGGGAUAACAGCGUAAUUCUUUUUGAGAGUUCUUAUCGACAGAAGUAUUUGCGACCUCGAUGUUGAAUUAAGAUUUCAUUAAGGUGUAGUAGUCUUGAUUGUAGGUCUGUUCGACCUUUAAAAUUUU